rnacentral:lncRNA from 1 species
GCUGCUGGGAACCGGCCGGGGUGCCGGGUCGAAAGACAGACGCGCGGGCCGGGCGUGCGCGGGCUUGGUGGAGGGCGGGAAGGCUGAAGGGCGGUGACAGGUCGCACUGCCUCGCGAGGGCCAGAACGCCCAUUUCUGCAGAGGUGCACUCAGUGGCGUGGGAAAUCAAAUGCAUCCGGUUAUCCCAGUUCGGCCUCUCUGGGAUUCCGCGGGAGGGGGUGUCUGGUCUGGUUUGGUUUGGUUUGGUUUGGUUUGGUUUGGUCCGGUUCAAAGUAGCGCAGUCUGACUGAGCGGGAGGUGGAGUGGAAGGCGAGAAUAGGGGUGAAGGAUUAGACAGAAGAAGACUUUGAACUAGGAACAGUGGCAACCAGGGUGACCCAGGCUUUUGUGACCCGUAGAGGCAGAAGCUGCCUUAAUCCAUGUUCCCUUCGGGAUGCUGGUAUCCAACUGAGAAGUUGACGGAGCAUCUAUCGUGUGCCAGACACUGUGCUAAGUGCUAACGAGAAAUCGCUGUUUCCAGUCUACUGGUGAGCCCAUCAAAGGUAUUUGUGUUUCCGUAACAGUUGUUUUUUUAAAAAUUUCUAUCAUUUUUACAAUUCUUUCUUGGAGAUUUUCUUUCUCUCUCUCUGCUUACAUUACCCAUUUGUUCUUACAUGUUGUCUACUUUUUCCAUUAGUGCUCUAAACAUAUUAAUUAUAAUUAUUUUAAAUUUACUUUCUGAUAAUUCUAAAAUCACUGUUAUAUUUAAGUCUGGUUCCUUUGCUCGCUUUAUCUUUACAGACUGUGUUUUUUCUUGCCUUUCUGCAUUCCUUGCAAUUUUUUGUUGAAAGUCAGGUAUAAUGUAUUGGGUAAUAGGAACUGAGGUAAUUAGGUUUUAGUUUGACUUUUUAUGUUAAUCAGUUAGGAGUUGGGGUGUUUAAUGUUUGCUGUAGCUGUAGGUGCCAGAUGCUUUAGUUCAGUAUCUUUGUUUUUGUCUCCUUUGCUGUCUUUGCGUUUCCCUAUCAACUUCUUCUUAAAUGGUCUGGGUUUCUCAGCUCUCCCAUUGUAAUCUAUUGCUAUUAUACUGGAGCACUGUUGAUGCAGUGGCAUGGUGUUAGGGAAGGGAAAUGUUCUAUAAUUUUAUGAUUAAAUUUCAGAUUUUUAGUUGAGUUCCUGGGCUGUAAUCUUCAGAAUUAUUUCUUAGCUUUUUUUCUCCCUUUAGAUGAGAUAAGAAGGCUAAAAAGGACUAGCACUGGCUAAUAAUCCCUUCCUAGGUCAGGAAUGGUUCUGGAAAGGUAGUUUCCCUCGUAGGGCAAGCAUUUGUUACAAAGAAUAUACUGAAUAUAUUUCAAAGUGGUUGCUUCCUGCUCCUCCUUCAGGAAACAGGAAGCAGAAAUUCUCUGAUAUAUACUGUCAGAAACUGGUGGGGUUCCUGAAGGCAAAAGCCAUGAAAGUGUAGCCUUUGCCUCCGAUUUGUCCCCUAGGAAUUUUCAACUUUCAAACUAGCCCACACCCAGCCUCAAGCAAUUCACCAAAACCACCACUUAAGUUUUCCUACCUAAUUGGCUCCAGUGGCUGCUGCUUCAGGAAAUCUAAGUUCUGCUCUGAUUCUCUGUAUUCACCUAUCGCUCCAAAUUUGGUGCUGGCAGGUUGCCCUGGGGCCUUAAAUCUCUUGGUCUAAGAUAAGUCAUUGCUUUUCUGUUUGUUCAAUGUUUUGUUGUUGUUGAAAGGAGUGCCAGUUUCCAAGCUCUGUACAUGUCAGAGCUCAAUAUUAGACAUUUGCGUUGGAAUUUCUUUCUUGGCUUGGAGUCGAGUGUCAGGACUGAUAUUCAUAGCCCAAACAUCACCAAGAAGCCGGUACAAGUAGAAGUAUUGACCCUCAAGGUCAUUUUAGUAUUGAUUUCAUUAUGAGAUAAUCACAUUAUUUUCUCUUUAUCCAUUGAGAAUAAAUAGCAUGCAAUCUGUCACAGUCACUGGUUUGGCUAACUUGACUUCCAUGCCCAGCCUUAUUUUCUCUUGCCUGCCUCUAACCUAGAGAGUGGAAAACCUAAAUAUGCAAGUUUCCAGCCAACCCUGAAACCAUAGUGGCCACGUGACUAUUUUUGUUUUUUUGCAAAUGUGAUCUAAACAUAAGUUUACAGGGAAGUUUCUAGAAAAGCUUUUGCUUUUUUGAGAAAAGGGGACAAAUUUGGCUGAUGUUUUAUCUUCUUUUGUAAUGCCUGCCUUGGUUAUGGAUGUGACACCUAAAGUUAGGGAAACCUUGAGGCUGCGGUUAAGAGAAUCGCAAGCUAUCCUCCCACCUCAGCCUCUUGAGUAGCUGGGACUACAGGUGUUCGUCACCACACCCAACUAAUUUUGUAUUUUUCUGUAGAGCCGGGGUUUCACCAUGUUGCCCAAGCUGGUCUCGAACUCCUGAGCUCAAGCGAUCCACUCGCCUUGGCCUCCCAAAGUGCUGGGAUUACAGGCAUGAGCCACUGUGUCCAGCCACCACCAGACUUAUGUGAGAAAAAUAAACCUCUGUUUGAUUAGGUGUUGCUAAAGUGGCUUUUCAAUAACUUGCAGCCAUAUGCAUUUCUGAUAGAGCACCUAACCUAUAUGGAAUCUGAGGUACAAAACCAAACAACCAGACUAAUAGAUAACAACUAUGAGGAGCAGGAGUCAACUUGGCUACAAUGAGUCAUGUUGAGGCCCACCCAUUCAAAGAACUAAAGCAAAGAUCAGUCUCAACAUUGUUGAAAUUCCAAGUACUAAAGUUUUGCUGGUUGCCAUUUGUUAUGCACAUAUGUCACAUGAAAUGUGGAGGGGAUGUUGUCUCUGUAAACUCAAAGUGCCAGUUUCAUUCCUGUAAUCCCAGUGGGAGGCCAAGUUGAGAAGAUUGCUUGAGGCCAGGAGUUUGAGCCAAGCCUGGACAACAUAGUGAGACUUCCCCCCCGCACCCCCCACCACUCUACAAGAAAGUAAGAAAAUUAGCCUGGCAUGGUGGUGCAUGCCUAUAGUCUCAGUUACUUAGGAGGCUGAGGUUGGAGGAUCACUUCUGGCCAGGAGUUUGAGGCUACAGUGAGCUACGAUCAGGCCACUGCACCCCAGCUUGGGCAACAAAAUAAGACUCCGUCUCUAAAAAAAGUUUAAGAAAGGAAAAAAAAAAAAGGAAAAAGCAUUAAACCAAGGCGUCAGUGACCAGUAGCAUGAGAAAAUGGCAAUUUUUAAGGAGGUGGGAGCCUUAGUAGUUUCCCUGAGCUGCACAGAUGGAUCUGAGAAAUAAAAGUAAAAUUCUAAGCCUUCAUCUGAAUGAACAGAGCCCCUCUUGGCCAGGGGAACUGCAGAGAAACCUUGAAAGCUGAAUUCAUGGCCAUGACAGGAUGAGAGAUUGGACACGCCUCAUUAUACUCCCUCCCUCGCUAACAGUCAUAGGUUUUAUUCCCUAAGGGCUAAACAGAAACCAGCCCUUUCAAAAGACUACUAGAUUAUUGUCCCAGGUACAGAACAAAGACAAAAUGAGAUUAAUCAUUUAUUUACCUCUCCCCAAGAAAUUUGCUUUCUCCAUUCCCUUUUUCUUCAAAUGUUCACCUUGUUUUAUGUAAGUGUGGAUUUACUGGCCACUAAAGUCUCACAAAUAUAUAAUUAUUUGUCUCACUACCACCCCUCAUUUUUAAGGAAAAUGUGUAAAUACUAAACCUCCUGUUCACCUCUUUGGGAAAAAAACAGCCACAGAUGCUUCUGUGACUCACAUUUUUCCUGGUGCACCCUCAAGCUGGCUCAAUAAACCUUGAUGUUUUGAGACUUACAGCACAAUCACUCAUUUUGGUUAUCAGAUCCAAACAAAGGAUAGAUUUCUAAGGUUUUUAUGAAUUAGGAAUGAGGCUCUUCUUUAACCAGUCUUCUUGGGCAAGUUACUUGAUCUCUCUAUGCUUCAGUUUCCUUAUCCAUAAAAUGGGGAUAAUAAAAGCAUGCAUCUCAUUGGAGGUGUGGGCAUCAAAUGAGAUAAUCUAUGUAAAUAACUCAACCAGUGUCUGCACACAUUAAAUGUCUUUUCAACGAUGUUAAAACUGAAUUGUGGACCUAGCCCUUUGCAUGUAUUGCCCUCAUCAUCCACAAACCCACACAGAAUUUUGCCUCUGAGGAGCAGCACUCAUGACUAGUUUGUUCUCAUAUCAAGGAGUGCUUUAAGAGAGCUCUUAAUAUUGAAGCAGAGAAAUAUUUCUAAGCUGCAAUGGACCUUGGCUUGUGCAUUAAUUUGGGCUCAAUGAGCUGCCAAAGUUAAGUGAACUUUUACUUGAAGGGCAGUAAACAAUGUCUUUCAGAAGUGUGACUCUGUUUAGAGAGAAUAGUGUUUAGAAUUUUUCCAGGAGUUGAUUAAGCUGGGAGGUCUGUAUGUUUCUUUUGAAAUAUUGAAAUGUGGAAUAUUGUCUGUCUCUAAUCUCCUGACAUCUUUCUCAGAGAUUAUUUAAGGUAGUUACUAACUGUCACUGUCUACUGCACUUACUGGGUCAGUACAUGUCACAAGUGUGGCUCUGUUUAUUGAUCUGGUUACAUUUGACUAUAUAUCACUUAAAUCUGAAAAAUAUUGACUUAAACAAGUAAAGGGUUUAUUUUAUUUUAUUUCAUUUUUUCUUUUUAUGUAACAAGAAGUCUGGAGACAGGCAGUCAGGAUGUAGUCUGGUGGCGCCUUCUUCUUCCCACUAAUCCUCCUUGAAAUUCCCAUGCUGGGAAGUUGACUGCUCCUUCUCUAGACCAUGAGUUUACAUUUUAUGCAGGAAAAAGGGUUUAAGAACAUAGUGCAAAAGGCACAUGCCAGCUGCUCCUUUAAAAAAUAAUAAUCAGGAAAAUACUUGCUCUCCCUGCAUUGAGAAAUCUACAUUCAGUAGAUUUCUGCUUACAUCUCAUUGGCUAGGACCAUGUUACCUGACCACACAUAGCUACAAGGAAGCCUGAGGAUUGUAGCCAGACACCUUGCUGUCCUAAACAGAACUGCAUUUCUUUUGGAAGAAGAGGAUGAUGGUGUUGGGCGUGCAGCUUGCUGUGAGUGCUGCACCCUUCAUCCCAUUACUCAAAAUGGCAAACUAGUUGAUGGAGCAGAGGAUAUGGCUUAAGUGUAGAGAUGUUUGCUCCAAGCCUGUAUGAAAAAGUUGCCUGUUUUAAAUAAGUAAAGGAAAAUCCAACCUCAGUAGCAUAAUCCAUGAUUAUAUUAUGAGGCAACAUUUUAGAUUUUUCUUGCUCCUCUCUGUUGACAAAUAUGCCUUUUUAGAAUUAUUGGGAAAUAACAUUUUUCAUAAAUUGUAGUACCUUGGCAGAGAAGGCCUCAGAUCCUUCCUGUCAAACUGACAUAAAAAUAUCCUAACCAUAGCCUGGGCCACAUGGGGAGACAUCAUCUGUACCAAAAAAAAAAAAAAAAAUUGCCAGGCAUAGUGGUAUGUGCCUUUAGUCCCAGCUACUCAGGAGGCUGAGGUGGGAGGAUCACCUGAGACCGGGAGGCAGAGGUUCCAGUGAGCCAAGAUUGUACCACUGUACUCCCACCUGAGCAACAGAGCAAGACCCUGUCUCCAAAAAAAAAAAAAAAAAAAAAAUUCCAAUCAUUUAAAAAUUAAAGUGAGAAGACUGAGAAAUGUCAAUAGACCAAAGGAGACUAAAAAGACAUAUUGAGAAAACACAAUGUGGUAUCCUGGAUUAGAUCCUGGAAGAGAAAAAGGAAGGUAGUGAAAAAAUGAGCAAAAUCUGAAAAAAGUCUGCAGUUUAGUUAAUAGUAACAUACAGAUGUUGCUUUCUUAGUUGUGACAAGUGUAACAUGCUAAUGAGAGGUGACAACGUGCUAGCAGCCCUCAUUUGCUCUCGGAGCCUCCUCGGCCUCCGCGUCUGCUCUGGCCGCACUCGAGGAGCCCUUCAGCCCGCCGCUGUGCUGUGGGGGCCUCUCUCUGGGGCUGGCCGAGGCCGGAGUUGACUCCCUCUGCUCAUGGGGAGGUGUGGAGGGAGAGGUGCUGGCGGGAGCCCGGGCUUCACGCGCGCUCGUGGGCCAGUGCGGGUUCCGGGUGGGUGCGGGCUCAGCGGCCCCACACUGGGUGCAGCUGGCUGGCGCCUGUUGGGCUUGAUCGGAGGCUGGGUCCCGUGCGUGGACUUCCGUUACCUCUUUGCCGGCUCAUUGGCCACCAUGGCGGGUCUCCGUCUCUUUGUCGUUUCCCGUUUUUUCCUCUAGGUUGUCUGGGAGGAGCUCCAUCUGGGCUGCCAGAGUGCCUGGGCUAGGUACUCCAAAGUCCCCUGGCGAGUGCCAGUAAGAGGUAAAGCCUGCUGGGCUUCUGGGACAGGUGGGGACUUGGAGAACUUUUCUAACUAAAGGUUUUUAAAUGCACCAAUCAGUACUCUGUGUCUAGCUAAAGGUUUGUAAAUGCACCAAUCAGCGCUCUGUGUCUAGCUAAUCGGCUGGGGAUUUGGAGAACUUUUGUGUCUAGCUAAAGGAUUGUAAAUGCACCAAUCAGCACUCUGUGUCUAACUAAAGGUUUGUAAACGUGCCAAUCAGCAGUCUAUCAAAACGGACCAAUCAGCUCUCUGUAAAACGGACCAAUCAGCUCUCAGUAAAAUGGACCAAUCAGCAGGAUGUGGGUGGGGCCAGAUAAGGGAAUUAAAAGCAGGCCACCCCAGCCAGCAGCGGUAACCCACUCCCAUUCCCUUCAAUGUUGUAGGAGCUUUGUUCUUUUGUUCUUCGAAAGAAAUCUUGCUGCUAGUCUCUCUUUGGGUCUGUGCUGUCUUUAUGAGCUGUAACACUCACCAUGAAGGUCUGCAGCUUCUUUCCUGAAACCACCGAGACCACAAACCCACCAGGAGGAACUAACAACUCCGGACUCACCGCCCUUUAGAGCUGUAAUGCUCACUGCGAGGGUCUGCGGCUUCACUCCUGAAGUCGGCGAGACCACGAACCCACCAGAAGGAAAAAACUCCGGACACGUCCGAAUAUCAGAAGGAACAAACCCCGGACACACCAUCUUUAAGAACUGUAACACUCACCGCGAGGGUCGGCAGCUUCAUUCUUGAAGUCAGGGAGACCAAGAACCCACCAAUUCCAGACACACUAAUAUAAAGUGUUAACAUUAGGGGAAACUGGGUGAGGGGUGAAGCUUAUAUGAGAACUCUGUAUCAGUUUUGUACCUUUUUUGUAAAUUGAAAAAUAUUCUAAAAUAAAAAGGAAAAUAAUUUUUCUUCCAACAUUUCCUCAUUAUAAAAAUUAAGGGCAGCUGAGCACAAUGACUCACACCUACAAUGCCAGCACUAUGGGAGGCCAAGGCAGAUGGAUUGCUUGAGCCUAGGAGCUUGAGACGAGCCUGGGCAACAUGAUGAGACCCCCAUCUGUACAACAAAAUACAAAAAUUAGCCAGGUGUGGUGGUGUGUGACUGUAGUCCCAGCUACUUGGGAGGCUGAAGUGGGAGGAUCGAUUGAGUUGGGGAGGUGGAGGUUGCCAUGAGUGGAGAUCCCACCACUGCACUCCAGCCUGAGUGAUAGAACCAGACUCUGUCUCAAACAAAUAAAAAACAGAAAAAAAUUAAGGGAAUGCUGGAGGAAAAAUUAUUACAUGACAAAAUAAGUAUUUACAUAGAAAAAACAGCAACUGUAAUUUGAAUGAAUGAGAUCCAAAUGUACUAGUAUGAGCCUAAGGUAUUUUCACAGCUGGAAUUUUGGCAUGUCCGCAAAAUUGCUGGUAGAAUGAUCUGCAAUAAGUCUAUUUUUUCAUGAGGAAUGGGAGGCCUAUUAAGAAAGAAUGUAUAGAGAGAUCAAGCAAAUGUGGUUCAAGAACAGUGGCCUGCAUGGACAGGAGGACUGAUACUAAAUAUAUUAUCAGUUUUUCAGAAUGCAUCCUGGCUCCAGAACCCAUGGCCUCCUGCUGGAGUUCUCCAUGUAAAAGAACCAGUAAAAGCAUUCAUAAAGCUGGCACACUGAGGAGGCAAGGAAUCGAUUGCACUGGGACAAGAUCUUUAUUAUUUUAUUAUUAUUAUUAUCUAUUUGUAGAGAUGGGGUCCUGGUAUGUUGCCCAAGCUGGUCUCAAACUCCUGGCCUCAAGCUAUCCUCCUGCCUCAACCUCCUGAAUUGGUAAGCUACAUUUUAAACACACUAUUAUUAUUCAUGGAAACUGACCAACUAAUUAUUCAGAAGAAAUUAAUUCUUCAACAUUAGCAUUUGGAGCUGGGAUGUUUUCAAUAAGCCCAGAUAGUUACUGAAUAUUUUUUCCCAAGGCCACAAGUCUUGGGAAAAGAAUAGUUUGUUUGCUUUUCUUUUAUUUUCUUUUUCUUAGACUUAAAAUCUUGGCUUGAGGCUGUGGUAUCUGAGCUGGCAAAUGGAAAAUUUGGACUGUCUAAUAAAAGUUGGGAAAGUGCAGAUUGUAAAAGAUGCGAGGGGUUGUUAAGUGGACAGUAUUAUUGGACAGGAGGGAAAUCUAUAGUAUUAACAGUUCAGUAGUAGUUCUGGCAUUGGGCACACAGGACAGGAGUAAACUGAGCAAGGCAUAGGAGAUCCCGUGCCUCCCUAUCACUGUCAGGUCACAAUGAGCUCCUCCUGCAUGAACAGCCAGAACCAACCACAAUGAAGGAUGCCAUGAGUCAGGUAGGCAAAGGAAAUCAGAAAGACCUGUGGAAGAAAAGCUGCACUGCCUAGCUUCAGAGCUCAAAGAGUCUGACUGCAGGCACAAGGAAAACAUAGAAUUAGAAAAAAACCUUUUCAGAAAGCAACUCUGCGGAGACAGGCUUGACUGAGCCCUGCCCCCAAGUUAAAUUGCUGCUGAAAACAGGUGCUGAUUGGACAUGCAAACUGAGAACUGCUAGUAUUACCAGCCAGAAGAAAAUAGUUCAUCUGAAGCAGUUAAAUUCCUGAAGAAUAUAUUACUGGCAUCGGUCCCACCCAAGUCUGAGUAGGAAUUUCAACUUCUAGUUGACCUCUUAUGGUUCUGACAAAACCAUACACCAUUCUUGAGGAUUUUAUGAACUCUAUUCACUAGAUUAUUUGGAAGGAACAGACUUUGUGCCUUAUCACUGUGUUGAUCAUGAGGUAACCACAGAGUGCAAAAUGGAGUAAUUUUGGAUUUUUUUGUCCUUUUCAUUGAAGUGUAAUUUACAUAAAGUACAAUUUACAGCCUUCGAUAUAUGGUUCUAUGAAUUUUGAUAAAUCAUCACAGUUGUACAAUCACAGUCUCUCCCUCUCAUACCCAGCCCCUGGCAAAAACUUACCUGUUUUCUUUCCCUAUCCUUUUACCUUUCCCAGAAAGUCACAUUAAUGGAAUCAUAUGUAAUGUAUUCCCUUUGGAGUCUGAAUUUGUGCACUUAGAAAAAUGCUUUGGAACUUUGUCCAUGUUGUUUCAUGUGUCAGUAGUUUGUUACUUUGUAUUGCUGAGUAGUAGUGCAUUAUGUGCAUAUAUGGACAUGUACCACAGUUUAAUCAUUGUUUAGAAGACACUGGGUUGUUUUCCCUUUUAGGAGAUUAUGAAUAAGCCUGGCAUAAAAAUUUGCAUAGAAAUAUGUGUGUGAAUACAAGUUUUUUAUUCUCUCAGGUGAAUGUACAGAAGCAGGAUUGCUGGAUUGUAUGGUAAUUGUGUGCUUACUAUUAUGAGAAACUGCUAGCUGAUUUUUGAAAGUGGCUAUUCUGCAUUGCCACCAGCAAUAUAUGUUGCUGAACAUUUUUGCCAGCACUGGGCAUUGUCAUUAAAAAAAAUCGCCAGCCUGAUAUGUGUGAAGUGAUACCACAUACGGGUUUUAAUUUGUAUUUUCCCAACAGCAGCAUGUUAAAUUCAUGUGUUUAUCUUCUAUAGUAAACUGCCCAAAAAUUUUUUGCCCAUUUUUAAAAGGUUGUUUGUUUAUCUUAAUAUUCUGUUUUGAUGUAGUAAAAUUUAUUCUUUAUACAUUGGGCUUUAUGUGUUCUACCUAAUAGAGUCUUUACUUACCCCAAGAUGGUAAAGGUCUCUUUCCUAUAUUAUAUUCUAGAAGUUUUAUAGAUUUGAUUUUAGAUAUAGGUUUAUCAUCCAUUUCAAUUUAAAAAAUUUUAAAUCUAUUUUUUCUUUUCUUUUCUUUUUUUUUUUUUUUUGAGUCAGUGUCUGGCUCUGCCACCCAGGCUGGAGUGCAGUGGUGCGAUCUCGGCUCACAGCAACCUCUGCCUCCUGUGCUCAAGAGAUCCUCUCACCUCAGCCUCCUAUGUAUCUAAGACUACAGGUCACACCACCAUACCUGGCUAAUUUUUGUGUUUUUUUUUUUGGUUUUUUUUUUUUUUUUUUGUAGACACAGGGUUUUACCAUGUUGCCUAGGCUGGUCUUGAACUUCUGAGCUCAAAUGAUCUGCCCACCUUGGCCUCCCAAAGUGCUAGGAUUACAGGCGUGAUCCACCAUGCUUGGCCUCAUCCAUUUCAGUUUAACUUUUGUAUAAAUUGAUGGUAUGGGUUAAGCUUCGAUUUUUUUCAAAUAGGUAUCCAAUUGUUCCUGCACCAAAUAUAGAGGUAGGCUGAAAGAUGGGAGGUAAGGAGAGAUAAAGGCCUUUUUAAAGGAUAAGGAGACGAAGGUAGGGGGAGGUGAAAGUGUACUAAAUGUUUUAUCUUCCUGGCAUUGGAAAAAAAUGGGGAAGAAAUAGAACAUUUUGAUAGAGGCCACAUUUGAUAUGCUAUUUUAAGUAAAUAGUAAAGAAAUAUGUGUAUUAGAAGAAAGGAAAAAUAGCAAACAGCAAUACAAAAUAAAUAGUAAAUAUAAAGCAAGCUGUAAAACAAAAUAAAACGUGAUACUUUAUAUUAUAUUUGAAUGGACUGAUCUCUCUCGUUAAAUUACAGAGGCAGGAGAUUAAAAAUACACUUAAAUAAAUUGAUACAUAUUUAACUUAAGGGGUUGGCCAAAAAUAUUAGGCAAAUGCAAAUAAAAAAAGAUACAAGUGGAAUUUAAAGUUAAAAGCACUAAACAGGACAAAUAAGAACAUUAUAUAAUUGUAAAAAUCAAGACUCUAAUAAACAUAAACAUAAACCUUUGUUCAGUAAACAACAUAGCAGCUAAAGAGAGUGGAAGGAGGUCAUUGAUUUAUAAACAGAAAUUAUUGGGUGAGGUUUUAGGAAAGAUAUGUAAAGAAGGCUGACUCAACUGGAAAAUGUCUUUUGCCCCUUCCCUUUCUUAUUUCUUCUGUCCAUAAUGUUGGAUAUGAUGGCCGAAAUUGCAACAGCCAUCUUGUGGCCAUGAAGCAACUUUGAGGAUACAAAGUAGAAUUCAAGAUUGCAAAGCUCAAAGGAAUCCAGAUUGUUAAUGACAUCAUAGAGCUGGCAUAUCUUUCCUGGACUAUCUGUUGCCAGAUUUGCUUUGUGUGUGUGAGAGAGAGAAAAUAAAUCUCUUUCUUGUUGAAAUUACUGUUGUGCUGGUUUUCUUUCUAGCAGCUGAAAACAAUUCCUGUCUGAUACAUAGAGGAUUUAAAUAACACAAUCAAUAAACUUGAGUUAAUAGGUAUGUGUGGAUUGGUGAGCAUACUAUUUUUGAGGAAAAGGGAGAAAGUAAUGGAAUAUUUAAAAUAUCAAUCAGGAUUUGGUCCAAAAAGAAAGAUGAAACAGAAUUUUAAAAUUAGUUCCCUUACAGAUUAUAUUUAAUCUGUAAAUAUAAUUUACAGAUCCAAUUUAAAUAAAAUGAUAAUAUAAAGGCGGCCUUUAUCUGCUUAUAUUAAAAACACAUUUAUAAAUAAACUUUGGAUCAAAGAAAAAAAGAAAAUUGAAAACUAUUCAGAAAGCAACGGGAGUAAUUUAAACCACAAUAUGUAUUCUCAGAGGAAAAUUCAUAGCCUUAAAUGUCUUCAUUUUAAUAAAAGAAUAUAACAAAUAAUUAUUCAUCUAAAAUAUUAGAAAAAGAACAGUGAAAAAGCAAUUCAGAAAUGUAAAAGCUAAAAUUAAUGAAUUAAGAAAAAUGUUAGUAGAUAGGAUAAAACGCAAAUGCUUUUACAUUGAAAAUACCUAUAAAUUAGCUAAACCCUUUGCAAGAUUAAGAAAAAACGUAGAGAAACCAAAAAUUAACAAAAUUUGCAAGCAGAAAGAAGAUGUAAACACAUAUAAAAUAUAUAGUGAGAAUUAUAAGUAAAUAAUUACAUAUGUGUGUUUAGCAGCAGAUCUGAAAACAGAGAGGGCUUACUGAUUUCCUUUUAGUAUAUGAUAACAAAAAUUGACCAAAGUAGAAGUUAGAAAAAGGAAAAGACUAAUUUCAUGUAAGAGAUUGAAAAAAUAAUUUACAAUGUACCAUGGCAAAAACCACCAGAAAAAUGUUGGAUAAACUAUUCCAAACAUCUCAAAAGUGUUAUCUGAGCUCAAAAGCAAAUAAGGGCAAUUCCCAGGGAAUGAACCAAAUGAAAUUGAAAACCACUGGGGUAAGCUAGAACCGGAGCUGAAGCUAUGGCUGUCAUGCUUGCCAAUCUCAGUUAAAAAAAAAAAAAAUGUGGGGUUAGAAUACAAUGACUGUGGCAGGACAGAAGAUAAACUCAUGAAUCAUCACAUAAAACUGGGGUAUUCCUAAUGAAAAAUGAACUAAAAAAUUGUUUUCCAAAGUGUUUAUAUGUGUACAUACUCCCACCAGUACUUCCUAAUGAUAUUCAUGCUGAAAAACAUUUGGUAUUAUCAGACUUCUGAAUUUUUGACAAGCUAGUGGAUAUAAAAUUAUAUUUAUAUUCCUCUGAUUAUUAAUUUAUUAAUGAGGUUGAAGAUCUUUUUACAUGGUUAUAUGACAUUCAUUUUUCACCUUCUGUGAAAUGUUUGUUCACGACUUUUACCCAGUUUUCUAUUCAAUUGUUUGUUUUAUUGAUUUGUAGGAGUUCUUUAUGUAUUCUAGAUAUUAAUGUUUUGACAGGCAUAUUUGUUGCAAAUAUCCUCUCAUAGUUUGACUUGUCUUUUUAAUUUGUCUUUACUUUGCUUUUUGCUUUUUUUUAAAAAAAAAUUCUUAAUCCAAUGACAGAUUAUGGGUUGUCUUUUUCUGUGAACAAAAGUUAAUGAUUUUAAUAAAUUCAAAGUUAUUAUUUUAUUGUCAUUCUUUAUGUGUCUUAAGAAAUGCUUUCUUAGUGUGAGUUUGUAAAGAUAUAGUCCCAUGGUAUGUUUUAAAUUUUAAAAUUUGUUUUGUCACAUUAAAAUUUUAACCCCCAAAAUGGGAGAAGGGCAGAGCAAGAUGGCCAAAUAAAAUGCUCCACCAACUGUCCCACCCGCAAAGACACCAAUUUAACAUCCAUACUAAAAACAAAAAAGCACAUUCAUAAGAAUCCCAAAUCAGGUAACCAGCUUGGGCACAGUGGGGCAGAGUACCAAGCAGACUCUUGGGAUUCCUUUUUCCAGGACUUGACUCUUUGAUGGCAUUCCUGGACCUGCCCUGGGCCAGCGGGGAGCCCACUGCCCCAAAACCUGAGUCCUAGGCCAGGCAGCAUUCACCACACGUUAACUGAUAAUCCUUUGGGGCCUUAAGGGAACAUCUGCGGUAGUCUGGCAGUAGGUUCCAUGACCUGUGGUGGCACUGGCUAUGGGGUGAGGCUCCUCUGACUUUGGAAAGGGGAGGAAACAGUGGGAAAGGCUGCAUCUCAUGGUUUGAGUGCCAGCUCAACCACAGUACAGUAGAACACCAGGUAGACUUCUAAGGUUUUUGACUCCAGUCUCCAGCUCCUGGAUGGACAGCACCUCUGGAUCUGCCUGUGGCCCUGGGGAACUUGCUGCCUUGAAGAGAAGAACAAGAGGCUAGCUGGCUUUACCAACUGCUGAUUGUAGAGUCCCAGGGCCUUGAGCAAAUGUAGGCGGUAGCCAGGUAGUGGUUACAGCAAGCUAUGGACAACACAUAGUGCUGUGCUGGCUUCAAGUCUGACCCAGUGCAGUUCUAGUGGUGGUGGAUGCAAGGGUGCUUGUAUCACUCCACCCCUAGCUCCAGGUAGCUUAGAACAGAGAGAGAGACUCCAUUUGUUUGGGAGAAAGUAAAGGAAGAGAACAAGAGUCUCUGCCUGGUAAUUCAGGGAAGUCUUUCAGAUCUUAUUCAAGACCAUAAGGUGGUACCUCUACGAGUCUCCAAGAACCACAGAGUUACAGGGCUUGGGCUUCCCCCUAAUGCAAAUAUGGGUUAGAUCGCAACACUCAAGUCCUUUUGAAUACCUGGAAAGCCUUCCUAAGAAAGAUUGGUACAAACAAGCCCAGACAUCGAAGACUACAAUAAAUACCUAACUCUUCAAUGCCCAGACACAGAUGAACAUCCAAGAGCAUCAACACCAUCCAGGAAAAGAACCUCACCAAAUGAACUAAAUAAGGUGCCAAGGACCAAUCCUGGAGAAACAGAGAUGUGAACUUUCAGACAGAAAAUUCAGAAUAGCUGUGUUGAAGAAACUCAAAGAAAUUCAACAUAACACAGAGAAGAAAUUCAGAAUUGUAUCAGAUAAAUGUAACAAAGAGGCAGAAAUAAAUGAAAGGAAUCAAGCAGAAAUUCUGGACUUGAAAAAUGCAGUUGACAUACUGAAGAAUGCAUUAGAUUCUCUUAAUAGCAGGAUUGAUAAAGCAGAAGAGAUAAUUAGCGAUCUUGAAGACAGGCUAUUUGAAAGUACACAGUCACAGGACACAGAAAAGAAUAAAAAACAAGGAAGCAUGCCUACAGGAUAUAGAAAAUAGCCUCGAAAUGGCAAAUCUAAGGGUUAUUGGCCUUAAAGAGGAGAUAGAGAAAGAGAAGGAUUAGAAAGUUUAUUAAAAGGGACAAUUACAGAAAACUUCCCAAACCUAGAGAGAGAUAUCAACAAUCAAUUACAAGAAGGUUAUGGAACAUUAAGCAGAUUUAACCCCCAAAAAGACUACUUCCAGGCAUUUAAUAAUCAAACUCCCAAAGGUCAAGGAUAAAGAAGGGAUCUUAAAUGCAGAAAGAUAAAAGAAACAGAUAACAUACAAUGGAGCCCCAAUACAUCUGGCAGCAGAUUUCUCAGUGAAAACCCUACAGGCCAGGAGAGAGUGUCAUGACAUAUUUAAAGUGCUAAAGGAAAAAAUCUUUUAACCUAGAAUAGUAUAUCCGGUAAGAAUAGCUUUCAAAUCUGAAGAAGAAAUACUUUCCCAACAAACAAAAGCUGAGGGAUUUCAUCAACAUCAGAGCUUCCCUACAAGAAAUGCUAAAGGAAGUACUUCAAUCAGAAAGAAAAUGACGUUAAUGAUCAAGAUGAAAUCAUCUGAAGGUAUGCAACUCAAUGGCAAUAAUAAGUAUAUAGAAAAAUGCAUAAUAUUAUAACACUGUAACUGUGGUGAGUGAACUCCUCUUAUGUAGAAAGACUAAAGGAUAAACCAAUUAAAAAUAAUAAUAAUAACUGCCAGGCACGGUGGCUCAUGUCUGUAAUCCCAGCACUUUGGGAGGCCGAGGCAGGCGGAUCACUAGGUCAGG